rnacentral:rRNA from 1 species
AUUGAACGCUGGCGGCAGGCUUAACACAUGCAAGUCGAACGAUGAUUAUCUAGCUUGCUAGAUAUGAUUAGUGGCGGCCGGGUGAGUAACAUUUAGGAAUCUGCCUAGUAGUGGGGGAUAGCUCGGGGAAACACGAAUUAAUACCGCAUACGACCUACGGGUGAAAGGGGGCGCAAGCUCUUGCUAUUAGAUGAGCCUAAAUCAGAUUAGCUAGUUGGUGGGGUAAAGGCCCACCAAGGCGACGAUCUGUAACUGGUCUGAGAGGAUGAUCAGUCACACCGGAACUGAGACACGGUCCGGACUCCUACGGGAGGCAGCAGUGGGGAAUAUUGGACAAUGGGGGCAACCCUGAUCCAGCCAUGCCGCGUGUGUGAAGAAGGCCUUUUGGUUGUAAAGCACUUUAAGCAGGGAGGAGAGGCUAAUGGUUAAUACCCAUUAGAUUAGACGUUACCUGCAGAAUAAGCACCGGCUAACUCUGUGCCAGCCGCCGCGGUAAAAC